GUUUAAAUGCCAGUGUUUUCACUGCUGGGAGAAUCAAUACACUGGACAAGGCUGGAAAUCAGCAGGACCCAGCACCGGCCGGAGGAGGAGGCUGGAAUUUAUUCAGAAGAAAUGCCAUGGUGCAUGAAGCUCUGCCCGUGUUCAUCCAGAUCCACUGGUGGAUCUCCCUGUCAAAGCCUAACUUUGGAGAAAAAUCCUUUGGGAUGAAAGGCACUGAAUUAUAUCAUCAUUAUGUAUCUGCUCCUGAAAUUAAAAUCAGGUGCUCCAGCGCUUUGGAGAAUUUUCUAUAUUGGCCUUUGAAGAAUCAUCUCCAGGACAAAUCCUUCUCCAGCUGAAAUCUAGGAUUUAACACACGGAUGCUGCCCUUUGCUGGAGGAAGAAAUGUCUAGGAAAUGGACCUUGAAGCAAUAAGUAAAUGCAGCAGUUUCUCCUGGUGUGCAGCUGCUGAAGCAGUGAAAGACAGAGAAAUAUGAAGGACAGGCUGCUGUAACAUAUGAGCUCUGUCAACAAAAGAAAUGUCAUGUCAGCCUUGGAUGAACACCCUCAAAUCAGCAGCGGACACUGGAUUGACUCAGCUGGUGUCAGGAUGUCCUAUUAGGAGAUGGAUGACUUCAGAGGGAGAAUUUCUCAAUCCAUUUAUAUGAAGAAUUUGCCUCUAAAUUCAAAAGGAGGUUCUCAGCAGAAUUGCUUUAAAAUUUAUAACCCAGCAUCUGUAUCUCUUUUGUUUCCCUGGCUCGGAGGAGGCAGGAAGGUGAAAUAUUCCCUGAGUGUGUCUGGAGCUCGCUGUCCUGGGCAGACCCUCCACAUGCCUGCUGUGGGACCCAUCCCUCCUCCUGUCCCUGUCCCUGUCCCUGUCCCUGUCCCUGUCCCUGUCCCUGUCCCUUCCUCUGGUGCAGCCAAUCCAACCCAGGGCUGAUCAGAAUUCACCUCAUGGAUUUGGGCUCCACACUGCUCUGCCCAGAGCCUUUGGGAGAUGCCAAUCUUUUCUCCACCGUGGUUUUUCUGCCCUGAAAGCUGCAGUCAGGAGAAAAUAAUUUGCACUGGCAGACUGGGAGGGAGGAUGGGGAAGUGCCACCUCUCUCUGACCCCUUGGAUUUUCAAUGUGCUCUUUAUUUUUUCCCAGGCCACCAGGUUGGUUUUCCACUCUUCCACUGGUGAAAUUCAGCAGCAAUAAAGGAAACAGGCUGAGUUCAUUUAAACACCUAUCCCUAGGCACAGGUGGCAUUCUUCCAUCCUUAUUUCCAUCUCUUGGGAGCUGGGCUUGAAGAAUCCUGGAGAAUAGGUGAGCUGUGUGCAGGCUCGUUCCUGCCUGGUGCUCCCAGCAUCUCCCACCCGCACAGGAGAGGCCCCAGCGAGUCCUGAGGGCUCCUCUGAACCCAGGGAGACCUUGCUGGGUGUCCUUGGGUGGCUGCACUCCCUGAUUAUUCCUUUCCAUGGGAUAAUUGGUGCUCCCUGGGCCCAGGGAAGGUCCUUCAGCAGCUGAACACAGCUCAGAGUGCUGGGGAGGAGGGGAGGCGAGAGGCACACCUGGGCUUUUGACCUUCCCAGGGAAUAUUCCAAGUGCUUGUGAGUGGAAGCACUCCACAGGGCAGCUCUUGUCCCUCAGAGCUCCUUUCCCAGCAGGCAAGCCCAGACCAUUUAUUCCUGUUCCCUUUUUACCAGCUGCAGCCUCAGCACAGCCUGUGUGGCAUCAGCUGGCCCCGGUCUUGUGGUCAGUCAGAGCACUCCAUUCUCCUGACUUUCUUUUUUGAUAAAUCACACAGUCUGAACCGAGCUGGACUUCCAUGGCCUUGGGCAGCCUCUGGUGUGGGUGAAUUUCCAGCAAAUGCUGCCCACUGCCAUUCCUGAGGGCUUUGUUUUCUGUCCUUACCAAAGCCUGGUGUCUCUGACCUGUGUGGUUUCUUUUCAUCCAGGGAUGGCUUUAAAAGAGCUGCCCAAAAUCCCCCUCAGCAUCAGCAACGCUUUAUGAGUUUGUCAGGCGUUCUCCUUCUCAAAGGCUGCUUAAGAUUUCAGUUUAACCGGUUUUAAGUCAGAUUUAGAAGUCAUGAACACAGCUCACCCAUCUGCAUAAUCUCCAGAUCGGUAUUCCUGUGAUGGAACCUGAAAACUCCUGCUGUCAGGGCUGAUGGCUGUCCCCUGAGUGAAGGGAGCUGUGAGGAAUCCAUGGACCACUGCCCUUAUCAUCAGUGGCAUCCCAGCAAAAACAGAGGGAAGUGCUGGCGGGACAUGGAUGAUCACCUGUGUGAUGUGAGACCAGGGACCUCCAUCAAUUCAUGGCUGUGGCAGGAGCUGCACAGAGCUCAAGGCACCUCCUACAGCUCCUUCCUGUCCGUGCUGUUAACAGCUGGCUGCAAACUUGGAGCUUUUUGUUUCAUUUUCAGGGGAAAAAAUUAAAUGCUUGUA
ensembl:lncRNA